rnacentral:tRNA from 1 species
GGGGUUGUGGCUCAGUGGUAGAGCACUUGCCUAGCAUGUAUGAGGCACUCGAUUCAAUUCUCAGCUCUG